rnacentral:lncRNA from 1 species
AACAUAGAAAUACGCAAUGCUGAUUUCCAUUACUUAAGAAUCCCAUUAAUAGUUGACAAAACAUUACAAGCCAAUAGUUAUAAGUGGAAGAAAAAAGACAACAACAUUUAUAAUUUUCCCAUACAUACGUGACCCACAAUUUAUCUACUGAUCCUUAAACUGUCAUGAGUAAAGUAAGAAAGUGCCGGUGACAAGGCCCUGACGAUACCCAAAAAAAUAUACAAGAAGACCAAAAUACAAUAUGAGGGCCCUGGUGUAGAGUAGGGCUCACCAUAAUUAGCUAAAGAAAGGAUGCACUCCUAUCGUGAAUCUGUGCCGCCUGCUGAGGUACCACCUGUAUCCACUAAAGAUGCAGUAUCCCCAGCAAUGAGACAUUAGUACAUAUGGAAUAAUACUAGUAUGAAAGGCUAAAUACCCUCACAUGAAAUGAAAUGUCAACAUAAGGAGAGAAAGCACGGAAGAAGGAGUAAAUCAAUAGAAAUAUACGACAAGAAGUUAUAACAUAAGAAGUGAAUGUAAAUGAGUACAACUUUUCAAAUAAACAUUAUCACUUUAGUUGGGAGAUCAUUAGUUACCGACAUAGGAAUGUAUAACUACAGUCGCACCCCCAUGCAUGGUCACCCAAACUACAGUCACACCCACAUGCAUGUGUUAUUGAAGGUCACAUAGUUACCGACAUAGGAACAUUAUCACUUUAGUUGGGAGAACAGUCGCAUAGAUUUAGUUGGGAGAAGGUAUUGUGUUAGAUCUCGACCUGAUCGGUUAAGCCAUCUCACCAUAAUGCCAUGUGAAUCGAUGUAAAUUUUCUAGAAAUACAUUCAUCCCAAUUAAGGGUCAUAAUCGCAUCAUAGUGUGAAGGGACUCAUUCCCAAUCGUCUUCCUCCACGACAUGUGUAGUUUCAUGUAUAGGUCCUUGCAACCUAUACCUUCUCGGUUACAUAAUAAUAUUCCCAAAAAUAUUUCUUUAUAGCAUUUCAUGAAACCUUUCUUUUUAUUAACACUUUUCGACAUACAUCAUCAUUAUCAUUCUGGGCACAAAUGGCCACAUAUCAUCUUCAUUCUUUCAUUUCAUUCAUGUGUCAUGGGUAAUCAAAAGUCAGAAAAAUGUAUUUAAAAUAUUGAAAAGCCAUGGCUACAAACACAUAAGUAUAUGAAAGCUUAAACACUUGAAAUGAAUUUCAAAGAAGAGAGCAUAACGAUGGAAAAUAUAACAUGAAUCGAGUUCAUAGGCAUUCAGUUAUACAAUCAUUUGAAGCAAUUUAGAACAAAGGAAAAAGGGAACUUGAAUGAAACAAACUUGGAGUUUAUAAGGAGUUCAUGAAAUCAAAUUCUAUAGGAAGGGUUUAGCCAAACAUACCUUAAUCAAACUUCCUUAGGGUUCCUACUAUGUUGCUCCACUCGUUAUACUUCAAUCUACAUCAAAAAAUUAAUUUGACCAACAUUAGAGGAUUUCUAUGUGUAAGUCAUUUAAAUAUUUUGUCAAAUACGUAGGGGGAAUAGCCCUUUACCAUCUUAGUAAUUGUGCUUUCUCAUCCUUCACACCUCUUCCAUGACCAAUUCACACCCAUAGUUACCCUUGGUUACUAUGUGACCUUCAACAACACAUGCAUGGUCACCCAAACUACACCCAACCAAUAACUACAUCAAAAAAUACCUUCUCCCUACUCUCCGUAAUACCCAAACUCAAGUUUGGAAGCUUAUGACUUCCAAUCACCAUCCCAUAAGAUCCAAUGUUCAAUUCCCAUCUAACAUUUCCAUUAUUGAAGGGAUCACUUCAAUACACAGUUCGCAAAAGGGAUCGUUAAAUGGUCAUCUAAAAUUUCUAAAUGGACUGGUCAGAUAUGCAGGGAAUCUGCGGUAUGCAUAAUGUUUUACGGUCCGCACAUUGGACUAUAGAUUCUUCCUUCAAAAAUUGCCUAAGUGGCCCAACUAUUUCUAUGACAGAUCUGCGGUCCGUGAAAUUGAUAUGCACUCCGGAAAGUUCACCACGAAAAGAUCUCUAAAACUAGCACUCUUCUGACCCAUUCUGUGACGUUUCUGUGGUUAGCGAAGCUGAUUCAUGGUCCGCAUAAUUGACUAAGAAUCAUCCUCUUGAGCUGGUUCUUCUACACACUUCGCGACGCAUUGUGCAGUCCACAAAUCUGUGUGAAACUUAUUCUACAACCUUCUAAACAUCAUAACUUGUCCUUGGCACUAUAAAACCUUAGAUCACUAGCAAACUUUUACGGGGCCUUACACCAAAGCCCUCAAAAAUCAAUAAUACAGGCUCUCAAUAUAUCCUCAAGGAUCUGAAUAAUUCGGUCGGACUGGCCAUUUGUCUCUGGGUUAAAUGUCAUGAUGAGCUCUACUUGAGUGCACAAUCUUCCUUGCAUAGCUCUCCAAAAGUGCAAUGUGAAUUGAGUGCCACAGUUUGUAAUUAUAGAAAUGAGCAUACCGUGCAAGCAAAAAAUCUCUCUAGAUAUAAGCUAAUCUCUCUAAUGUGUAAGAAGCUAACACUGGAAUGAAAUACGUAGAAUUGGUCAAUCUGUCCACACCUACUGGAAAUUCAAACACCGUGAAACACGCAUAACAAUGUCCUUCUUUAUCGUUCGCCACCAGUAAUGCUACUUAAAGUUAGAUACAUCUUUGUGACAUAUGGACUGUCACACCUCCUUUUUACUACCCCCAAAAGGGGUAUACCGAAGUUUUUUCCAAUUUAAGUGACGAUCGAAACGAGAUUAUUUAUUUUAAAAAUCAGAGUCGCCACUUGGGAUAUUUUAUGGUGUCCCAAGUCACCGGUUCAAAUCCCGAAUCGAGGAAAAGAUUGACUCUGUAUUACAGUCCGCGAACACAGAAAUCCGGGUAAGGAAUUAUGUUAUCCCGGGAGAAGGUGUUAGGCAUUCCCGGAUUCCGUGGUUCUAGCACGGUCGCUCAACUGUUAUAAUUGGCCUAUUAUCUGAUUUUAAUACAUUUUGAAUCUAUGUGCAAUUUUAAACUUUUAACCGCUUUAUUUAAUUUUUUAAAGGAAAAUUGCAACGUCAUUUAAAAUAUGUCUUGAACCACAUCACAUAAAUGCACCCACGGUCCACGACACAUUUUGUUUAACGUUGUUGAGAUUUGGAUUUGGGUCACAUAAAUGCGCACCCGAGUUUAGGAAGGUAAUAUUAUUAAAAUAACGCGCCUAAAACAACUACGCGUUUUAACUUUGUGAAGGCCAUGAGAAAUUCAACUAAUGACAAACUUCGAUUCUAAUUUCAAAGGAUUGUACUCAACUAAAGCAAGGCCGAGAGUUUAUGGAAAUUAUUGUUGUGGGGAAGGAUGUAAUGAUUAACUACUGAAUUUUAACAACUUCAAUUAUCUGGCUAAACUAGAAAAACUCUGGAUAACUAUUAAUUUUUUUAAAAAAAAAACUAACUUAUGAAUGAAUACUAAAGUUAUUGGGCUUAAUAUCUUCCAAGUUAAACUCAUUUGGCCCACAAUGUGCUAGAAGAAUCAAGAUCCCAAAAGCUUUACUCAAAUUCCAUUGGCCAAAUGGCCUAUUUGAAUCACCCUGUUCCAAUCCCAUUUACAGCCACUAACUUCACAUUAGAUAACAAUAUUAUAGAGAGAACAACAAGCUUUGCAAUUAUGCCUUCGGUCGCAGAAUUUAUGCCUUAAACAUAUAACUUUUGAAACAAAGCUGUGCUAAGAAAUCAAUGCUAUGCCAUUGCUUAUACCAUUCGAAACCGAUCAAUUCUAAUUUAACAAGCAUGAUGAAUUUCAGAAAUUGUAAUUAAAAGGUAAAUCCAAUAACAACAACAACGAAAUUUGAACAAGCAAACCAUCCUGUUCCCCAAUCUACAGAUGAGUAAUUCAGUAACACAUCUCAAUGAAGAAUACUCAGAUAUAAAAGGAGUUUUCUUGUGUUUACCUCACUGCCGGAACAAAACGAACGAGAAAUGCUCAAAAGUUUGAAAAACUAAGGCUGGAGCUCAACCAUAAAUUCAGCCGAAACAAACAGCAAUCAACAACGGCUUUAAAAGAGGAAAUUUCAGAUAUAAGAACUUCUCGCAAUGUUGAGUACAAGAACAUCUGGCAACAACGAUUUGAACAGAACUAAAAGAAACCGAAACAGGGGCAUUCAAACAGAGCAAAACUAAUCAGCCACAACUUCAAUGGAGAAAUCGACGGACCAGACCUUGACGACCUCGAAACUUCAAUACCCAGCUCCGAACAGAUCUCACAAACGAGCUCCAAAAUGGACUCAAAUCAACGAAAUUCCAGCAGCAAAAUGAAGCUUAAGAACUGAAAUUGCUUUCAAUUAAUAGAACUUCAGCAACUAUGGAAACUGAAACUCGAACUUUCGAUUGAUGAAAUAUUUAGUAAUACACGGACAGAAGUCGAGCAAGUGUUACAACCAACACUCG